UACGGAGGGUGCAAGCGUUGUCCGGAAUCACUGGGCGUAAAGGGCGCGUAGGCGGCUCGGUAAGUAGGGGGUGAAAUCCUGCGGCUUAACCGCAGGGCUGCCUUCUAAACUGUCGAGCUCGAGCACGGUAGAGGCAGAUGGAAUUCCCGGUGUAGCGGUGGAAUGCGUAGAGAUCGGGAAGAACAUCAGUGGCGAAGGCGGUCUGCUGGGCCGUUGCUGACGCUGAGGCACGAAAGCGUGGGGAGCAAACAGG
rnacentral:rRNA from 1 species